GACGAACGCUGGCGGCGUGCUUAACACAUGCAAGUCGAACGGAAAGGCCCUGCUUUUGUGGGGUUCUCGAGUGGCGAACGGGUGAGUAACACGUGAGUAACCUGCCCUUGACUUUGGGAUAACUUCAGGAAACUGGGGCUAAUACCGGAUAGGAGCUCCUGCUGCAUGGUGGGGGUUGGAAAGUUUCGGCGGUUGUGGAUGGACUCGCGGCUUAUCAGCUUGUUGGUGGGGUAGUGGCUUACCAAGGCUUUGACGGGUAGCCGGCCUGAGAGGGUGACCGGCCACAUUGGGACUGAGAUACGGCCCAGACUCCUACGGGAGGCAGCAGUGGGGAAUAUUGCACAAUGGGCGGAAGCCUGAUGCAGCAACGCCGCGUGCGGGAUGACGGCCUUCGGGUUGUAAACCGCUUUCGCCUGUGACGAAGCGUGAGUGACGGUAAUGGGUAAAGAAGCACCGGCUAACUACGUG
rnacentral:rRNA from 1 species